rnacentral:rRNA from 1 species
UACGUAGGUGGCGAGCGUUAUCCGGAAUGAUUGGGCGUAAGGGGUGCGUAGGCGGCCUGCUAAGUCUGGAGUGAAAGGUACCGGCUCAACCGGUACGGGCUCUGGAAACUGGCGGGCUAGAGAGCAGGAGAGGGCGGUGGAACUCCAUGUGUAGCGGUAAAAUGCGUAGAUAUAUGGAAGAACACCAGUGGCGAAGGCGGCCGCCUGGCCUGUUGGUACUGACGCUGAGGCACGAAAGCGUGGGGAGCAAAUAGG